AUUGAACGCUGGCGGCAGGCCUAACACAUGCAAGUCGAACGAGUGGCGGACGGGUGAGUAAUGUCUGGGAACCUGCCUGAUGGAGGGGGCUAACUACUGGAAACGGUAGCUAAUACUGCAUACCAUGCUAUCUGCCCAGAUGGGAUUAGCUUGUGGGGGGGGUAACGGGACAUCAAGGCGACGAUCCCUAGCUGGUCUGAGAGGAUGACCAGCCACACUGGGACUGAGACACGGUCCAGACUCCUACGGGAGGCAGCAGUGGGGAAUAUUGCGCAAUGGGCGCAAGCCUGAUGCAGCCAUGCCGCGUGUAUGAAGAAGGCCUUCGGGUUGUAAAGUACUUUCAGCGGGGAGGCGUUACCCGCAGAAGAAGCACCGGCUAACUCCGUGCCAGCAGCCGCGGUAAUAC
rnacentral:rRNA from 1 species